GAGGGGUCAGGAGCGGAGAGGGAGGCUCUGCAGAUCCACCUCCGGCUUUGGCAGGGAGUCCUCAUUUAAAGGACACGGAGGAGCGGGAGAGAGAUGCUCAGCCGCUCCUCCUCCUCCGGGGCCAGGACUCGCUUCUUAUUUGCUGGGUGCGAUCUCCCUGCAGCCCUCAGAGGCGGUGGCCGCUGCUGCUUUCAUUUCUGGGCUGCCAUAACCAGAAAUGCCUGCUGCCGGCCGCCCACAUGCUCUGCUCGAGCCAGGUUGUGUCUCUACAGGGACAUCUGAACUGGAGUUGAAGGGAAGCAACCGCAGAUGGAAAUCUUGCCUGAAAUCUACUCUUCAGGUUGUCAAGGGCUGGUAAUAGGCUCAGUCCAUCCUGACGUGGGGCUGCAUCAACCUAGGACUCAAUCCAGAGGGAAAGGCAUCUAUUUUGAGAUCAAGACAGCAUAUGGGUGUUAUGGUUUGGAUCUGGAAUGUUGCCUGAAGACUCAUGUGCUGAAGGUUUGCUCCCCAAAGCAGCGAUGUUCCAAGGUCCAAAGCAGUGGUGCUGGCUGACCAUAGACUGAAAACUUUAAAACUGUGAGCCCAAAUUAAUCUUUCCUUCUUUAAUUUGAUUUACCAGGUAUGUUAUCACAGCAACAGAAAGGUAACUAGCACAGUAGGCUAGUAGUAACUCUAAGUAGUGCAGGAGGAGCCAGGAGGGCACGGUGUUGCAAGGGAUUGACCAACUGGUCCCUUAUCUUCCAGCUAGCUGAGUGGCCACAUGGGGUGAGAGCAGUAGAGGGUAUGUGGAUUGCAUCUCACAAUCGGUGGCAUUUGCCUCUCUUCUGUCUUGAUUCCUAUUAGAACCAUCUCUCUCUCCCUCCAGAAGAGCUGUGUCUUACUGGGUUUUAUAUCCCCUACUGCUCCAGCACACAGUCAAUCCCCACAUGAUGAGUGAAUGAAUAGGCUUGCCAUGCCUGCCUAGGUUAUUUGCUGCCUGGGGCGGGGGAAUGUGCAACAGAAGAACAACUAAUUUUAAUUUAUAUUUCAUUUAUGUUUUCCUAGCAUUUUGGACAAUUUUUUGAGACUAAAAUGCAUGGUGUUAAAAAAUAAAAUGUGCAAAUAAAGCUAGGCAAAUAGUCGGGAUGCUUGCCAACCUCAAGAGACAUUACCUAAUGGUUUUCAAGCAUCUGAUUGAGUUGAUUGUGUUAGAGUUGGAGUCUACUCUCUUCCUUUGUGGACAGGUACACGUGGGUCCCCACAUGUAAUUACUGUCACAGAGUGUCAUGCAUGUUCAUGCACAGAAUGCGUUACACAGAAGAGAAAUGCUUCUCGAGCAACCUGAAGAAACAAAAGAAAACCACUUAAUGUAUGAAAAAAAUGCUUUAUCAGUUCUUGAUCAGCAGUUUCAAAUAAUCAGCAGAUUCAGAUUCCAAAAGUAUUAAGUAUAUUAGAUCACCAAAACUAUCCAUUGCAUUACCGUUCCAAAGCAAAUGAAGUGCUCCCUUGACUGAGUUAAAUGGACAGCUGCUGAGAUCACCAGUGACAGGUAUAGAGAAAGAAUUUCAAUUUUCUGUAAAUAGUAGAAUGCAGAAGAGGCAUGAAGAUAACCUAAAGAACGAAGUGUCAAAAUAAAUAACAAACUUCUCUUUUGACCUGUGUUAGCAGCAAUUUGGGCUGAUCUAUCCUAUUCCAAGAACUAUUAGAGAGAAAAAAAAAGAUGUCACACAAUGUUCACAUCGCAAGCAUCAAAGGCAAUAACCGUUUCCUUAAAAAAUCCAACCCACAGACAUAAGUCUUCACAAAGAUAGAUUCUGCAAGUUUGGAAAAUGUUUACUCCAUUGCUAUCCACUGCAAAUAUUUUUUUCAACAGAUUGACAAAUACAUUCAAUUUUUUUGAAUGCAACAGAAUUUCAUUAAAGCAGAGCUUGUUGCACAGAUUUAGACAUAAACAAGGAAAAUCAUGUUUCCUGAAAUGGUUUUCAUUCAAAACAAAAUAGCAGCAGAACCCAUUUUUUCCCUUUCCUACUCAGCUCCUCUGAGCUGAGUUUUAUAGGACACGAAGACAAAGGAAGCAAGGGAUCAUCCAGUGCAAGGGGAAGCCCUUGAAGGAUACAAGCAGAUGGCAAUGAAAGACUCAGCACAAUAGAGCAGGGAGUUGGGGAAAGAAAGGAAACCACACCAUUAUCUGCACUGGGUAUGGAAGGUCCCUCCAGAUGCCCAUGGUCACCCUGGGCAGGAACUGACAUUUACUGAGCGCUUAAUAUUGAGGCCUUGGGCUAGGCUGUAUCUCAGAGGACAAAUCUAAACCAAAAGGCUCUCCUGCUGGGAACCUCUCUGUAACUGGCACUGAAAGAUCAAUAGAAUAAACUGGAACUGUGGCAUCAGUUAUCACAGGCUUCCAACCUGGGAAAUAAAGAGGAGGAUCCUCAUAAACUCCAUUCCAGACAACCGAAUUGUGACCUCAAGAACAAAUAUUCAAAGACUAUCAAUUAAAAGGGGAGUGACACUGUAUCCUACAGCUGAUCCCUCCUUUAUUGCACGGGAACUGUGUGGCAGAGUUGUUGAACAACUAUGGCAUCAGUUUCCUUGUCUGUAAACUAGUGCUUAUCACACAUUACAAAAAUUAAAUGUGUGCCUAGGCAGGUGACAAAUGUUAUGUACCAGAUCUGUAGUGACCAGUGAACCCAGAAUAUAUAGCACAAAAUGUCCCCUAAAGCUCAUGCUCAGGUUAGGAAAUAAGGAGAGGGACCCUGCCUUCUGCAGAGGGAUCCCUACUUCAGCCAUCAGUGUGGUGCUCGCUACCAAGGUAAGGUGGACCUGCCAACAAGGCUAAAGGUUUGUAAAGUAAAGGAAACCUAAACAUAUGUACAGACAACUUUUGGGGCCCAGGGUAAACUACAUGACUAGAGGUUCUAGUUAGUUUAGCAUCUUUUCAGAAUUUACUUGAAUUAGUCCUUCAACUUCUCAAAGUGGAGAGAGCAUAUUGCAUAUUCUUAACCCAGAACACUUCUUGCAUACUUACCCUUUAAUGUUGUAUUUAUGGAUAUAUAUGCAAAGGAGAAAACAUGUUUUUUUUCCACUGUCCUUUAUCAAGAAAGCAGAUGUUACUGAUAACUUCACUAUCCUACUUUCAAAUGCUACCAGCAGUUGAGCAAUUAUUUACAUGCAGAUGCAAACAAGUUCGGUGUAACUAGCUGUAGUAGUAGAGAAUAUUAAAACAUAAUAAAUGUUAAGUCUUUUCUAAAGAAGUAAAAAAGGACAUAUUGCUUUGCAUAUCAGUAUUUACCAAAAACUCAGAUAGGUAAUGCUCACAGGAUAAAAACCAAUUGUAUUUAAACCAAUUGUCAUUAUUCUUUCCCAAACAUUUACCAUGUAACAGAGAACUAAAACUGUUGGUCCUUUUCUGUAUGAAUGCUAAUCUAACAACACAAAAAAGGAGCAUUGUCCGGGUAGCAUUAAAGUUAUUGGGUGAUAAGCUCUGCCUAGGAUGUAGUGAUAAAAAUUAAGUACCUUUUAGAGCUACAGCCACUAUUCUUAUUUUUAUUCUACUGGUGUUCCCAAUUUCACACUCAAAAAUAAACAUUUGCAGUUUAAGUCACAGGGAACAGAUCAAUUUUUCUCAAAGGAACCAUUUACUAAAAUCUGUAAUUUUAAAAACACAAAAUUGGGGGAAAUUAAAAUUUUGAUUAGUUUUAUUUAUAUGCACAUUACAUAGAUUUCACAUACAUUUAACUUUUUUCCUUUUAAAUGUUUCCUUUUCUGCAUGUUUACACUUACCUAUCAACAAAGGUUGAAGGGCUGGGGAUUAGGAAACGCUGUAUUCUUCUUCUCUUGACCCUGAUGCGAUUUUAGACAAGUUAUUUCUCUACAAAAUGAAAACUACUCCUUUUCACUAUCAAACUGUUUCUUAGGGCAGGUUCUCAGAUUUUCCAUACUACAGGGAAGAACCAUGGCUUGGCUAAAACAGAAUGCUGGAUAAUAAAUAAUUUUAUGGAAGUUUCUGGCAUGCAUUAUUUAAUUUCUGGCAACAGAAUCACCUUCUCAAUAAUGUUUUCAUAAAAUAAGAACAUCCAUGAAAGCACACACACUGGCUGACAGGCAGGAGAAGCUGACAUGGGACCAAAAAAUAAUUGGGGAUUAGAAAGGGAUAAAUCAAUAUGAAAAUGACCAAGGCAUCUACUGUGAAAUUAAUGAAGCAGUAGCAAAGUGCUUUGAUGAGCCUCAAACUGAUAGCAACUAUACAUUAGGCAUGUCCUAGGGGCCAGGGAGAGAUCACAGCCAAAAGCCAGGUUAUUAGGUUAUUAAUAUUGAGAUUAAGGACAGCAGAACUAAGGCACUGACGAUAUGGACAGCAUCACUUAAUUCAUGUAAUCACAUGAAUGGUGUGAAUCUACCUUGUGCACAACCAUAGAAACGAAAGAUGAACCCCAUUUGUGUACAAUGAAUCAAAAUGCAGCCUGUAAAAAUUAAAAUAAAUAAAUUAAAAAAUAAGUGUCUACCUCACUGAGCAGCACUGACUUCACCUUCAAAGUCUUCCAAAUGGCCAUCUGUUUGGGAGCUGCCUGGUGCAAACCCCCUGGCUCCUGCCUUUUAGAAGGCUUGGGUGUAACACAGAAGCACAUACAUCACCUUCUCCACCCUCAGGCCCCUGUUCAGAUGCAUUAGAAAAUGUAACUGAGAAGGGGAGUAUUUUGCAGGAUGGGGAAAGUCCCACAAGGCAUGUUUUUAGAAAGGGUGGGAAAUCACCACCCUACUUUGACCAGACAGGCAGGGCUUUGUGUAGGAGGGCGAGGCUGUCAGAAACUGAAUGAGGGACAGCUGCAGCUCGGCAGGCUGGUGGGGAGAGCAAUUCCAACUGUUCAGAAGUGAGGUAGAGAGUAAUGAGCUUUGCAGAUCGUCAGGCUCGGUGAGGUCACUCCGAGAAACAGAACUGGAGGGUCAUGAUUCUGACCCUGGUGUUAGCCAUAGAGAAACUCAAGCUCCUGGUCAGGUCAGGCCCUGCCCCACCAGGUACUGAUCAGUUUUCCACCUACGUGUUCAACCUAUUCUUUUCCCAUCCACAGGGUGCAUCCUAUCUGCCCUCUAUGUAACACUGGUUCAUGAUCUCAAAGGAGAUUCUGUGGAUGGAAGGACUCUACUCCCUGGGUGCUAGCAUCAGAGAUGCUCAGGGUUUCGUCAGUGCACGAAUAAGACAACUAAGAGGGUGGGUGGUCGCCCUUCAGUCCUCCAUCCUAAAGAGACACACUGGCACCUCCCUGGUCAUUGUACCAGCUUGCUGGACUUUCAGUUUUUGGUUUAGGGACAUGCCAGGGGUGCCCUGCUCUGUAAGUGGCCAUUCACCAACUCCAGGAAUGUUCUGGUGGUUUGCCUGGGUCUUAUCCAAAUGCCACUCCAGCCUCUCUGAAUAAAUACAGGAUGGGUGGUAACUGCAGUCGGAGAAAUACUCCACCCUACCUCUAGCCUUAUUUUCCACCUUCUUUGCUUCCCAGGGGAAUUUUUCCUUUCUCUUAUCCUUUUAAAUUAUUUUUAGAAAUUAACUUGGUCUAUGAUUUCUUUUAUCCUUACCUUUGUAUAUUACUCUUCAUGUGUCUAAUUGAUACUGUGUUCAUUAAAACAAUGAGUAGCAGAAGAAUCAGAGAAAAGACCAUGUACAUGGCCUUAUGUUGGAAUCUUGGAAGAGGGGAGGUCUUUGGAUAGUGAGAGUCAAAGGCUGAACCUGGAAUUAAAGUAGCAAUAUUCACUCCAUUGGCCUUGUAUCUACUCUUACAGGGGAGGAAACUGAAACUCAUGUA